rnacentral:tRNA from 1 species
GUGGGAGAGGCUUAGUGGUUUGGCGUGAGAUUGCAACGUAUCUGUUCUGGAACGAAGCUAAGAAAGAUCUUGAGGUCGUGGGUUCGAUUCCCACCUUCCACU